ACCUGGCCAGCUCAGCUGGUAGAGCAUGAGACUCUUCAUCUCAGGGUCAUGAGUUCAAGUCCCAUGUUGGGCA
rnacentral:tRNA from 1 species